UAGAUGGAAAAUAACUCGGCCUAUAACAUGGUGCAUACCACACAACGUUGUAGUCCCACGAUCGACAUGGCUUAAUGCACCACAAUGGUAGCAAAAGCCAUUAUCAUAGAGAGAGAGAGAGACCAUAAGCAGAAGAAGAAGAAUUUGCAUUUUGUGUUGUAUUGUAAAUGGUAAAUUAUUUAAUGGAAUACAAAUCAAAUACAUAUUUUGAUUAUGAUUUCCAGCUGUUGGAUAGUUGUAUUGAAAGUUAUGUUGUGAUUGAUAUUGGUACUUGCCACCAAAUCUAUAAGUGAAUAUUUGAGUCAAUAUUGUUUAAUGAAAAAUGUCAGAUCAAUCCGACCUGAUGGAUAUUUCUUCUGUGAAUACCUCGCAUGAUCCAAAUCAAGCUCAAAAAAGUACUGUAUCUCCUAAUAAAACAGAUCAGUAUGCUUCCCGGCUGAAUAAUCUACAAAGAAUCCAGCAGAAGAAAAAGGCAGUACUUGGAUUUCCGUACAAUAAAAAAUUGUUGAAGCUAGCCGUGUACUCAAAAUGCCAGGCUGAAAAAUGUGACUGCAUUGGAUGGAAAAGAGUAGAUAGCAAUCAACAGAAUCCCACUUUUACUGAUCCUUGUAGAUGUGAGCACCCUUUAG